UGGGGAAUCUUGGACAAUGGGGGCAACCCUGAUCCAGCCAUGCCGCGUGAGUGAUGAAGGCCUUAGGGUCGUAAAGCUCUUUCGCCUGUGAAGAUAAUGACGGUAGCAGGUAAAGAAACCCCGGCUAACUCCGUGCCAGCAGCCGCGGUAAUACGGAGGGGGUUAGCGUUGUUCGGAAUUACUGGGCGUAAAGCGCACGUAGGCGGACCAGAAAGUUGGGGGUGAAAUCCCGGGGGCUCAACCCCGGAACUGCCUCCAAAACUAUUGGUCUAGAGUUCGAGAGAGGUGAGUGGAAUUCCAAGUGUAGAGGUGAAAUUCGUAGAUAUUUGGAGGAACACCAGUGGCGAAGGCGGCUCACUGGCUCGAUACUGACGCUGAGGUGCGAAAGUGUGGGGAGCAAACAGGAUUAGAUACCCUGGUAGUCCACGCUGUAAAACGAUGGGUACUCGGUGGUGCGGGUGUC
rnacentral:rRNA from 1 species